GGGGUGGUGGCGCAGUUGGCUAGCGCGUAGGUCUCAUAAUCCUGAGGUCGAGAGUUCGAGCCUCUCUCACCUCA